AGUGAACGCUGGCGGUAGGCCUAACACAUGCAAGUCGAACGGCAGCACAGUAAGAGCUUGCUCUUACGGGUGGCGAGUGGCGGACGGGUGAGGAAUACAUCGGAAUCUACUUUUUCGUGGGGGAUAACGUAGGGAAACUUACGCUAAUACCGCAUACGACCUACGGGUGAAAGCAGGGGAUCUUCGGACCUCGCGCGAUUGAAUGAGCCGAUGUCGGAUUAGCUAGUUGGCGGGGUAAAGGCCCACCAAGGCGACGAUCCGUAGCUGGUCUGAGAGGAUGAUCAGCCACACUGGAACUGAGACACGGUCCAGACUCCUACGGGAGGCAGCAGUGGGGAAUAUUGGACAAUGGGCGCAAGCCUGAUCCAGCCGUACCGCGUGGGUGAAGAAGGCCUUCGGGUUGUAAAGCCCUUUUGUUGGGAAAGAAAAGCAGCAGGUUAAUACCCCGCUGUUCUGACGGUACCCAAAGAAUAAGCACCGGCUAACUUCGUG
rnacentral:rRNA from 1 species